CUCUCUCUCUCUCUCUCACACACACACGCGCGCGCGCAAGAAAGAAGCUGCUUGUUGCAAAGCAAAGUAUAUACUUAUUAUCUGUGCGAGAUCGUCGAGGGUGAAGGUGAAGACGUUCAAGUCCUGCCAUGCUUUUCCACAGCUUUCUUGAACUUCCUCAGCUACUACGUCUGUCCUCGAUCGUGGAGAUUUUACAGACUCGGAAGCUCAAGAAAGCUGUGGGACGACAUGGCGAUUCAGGAUUUCUCAGUCUUAAUUGCUCUGCAGAAUUAUUCUCACGGCGCUGAAUUCGCCGGCAUACAAUUCAGCCCCACGUUGCAUUAUUGCAGGAUAGGAUCCAUUAAGUGCUCACUCGAAAGGAACCGUUCAUGUGGGAAGAUACAAGGAAACAAAAGUAAAGGAUGGGGAAAUCCUCAUUGGGUAGAGUUGGAUCUCAUCUCAUCUCAAGCUUUUGUCAGUGGAAUUAGGGUUUGGUCACCCUCCAAUCAAGCUCGUGAUCUGGAGAGAGACACCAGAAGCUGUUGUCGCUGAGAAGAUUCCCCUCAGUUUCCUCUUUAGCAUCAGCAAUAAUUGUAGCUCUUCCUGUUGGCUUUCUUUUGUGGUCCUGAAAUUGUCUGGUUGCGAUCUCCUAAGUUUCAGUGAAAAAACGCGGGGGUUUACCUUUGUCACUAUGUGACCUCAGGGAGUGUUUUUCUUUUUGAUCUUUGACCCCUUCAUUGUUGGUGACUGGUUUGGUUCAAUUGCCCGAAUUGUCGAAGCUGAAGAUUCGGUUUGAUCCCGACCAAACUUUCUUUUAGUGGAAUUGGGAUUCUUGCAUAUAUGCUGAAGUCAUAGGACAAGGUGAACAACUUAUUUGUAUUUAGAGUGGAUUGGGAUGAAUCCGAGCCGUCAUAUCUUGCGAGCCUGGCUUCCUAUGCCACCUCUGUCUAAUUCGCAUGGACCCGGCACUAGGAAGAGCUUUGCUGUAUCGUGGCCACGUUGUCGGCAUGAUCAAUAAUUUGACGAGAAUCGAAACUCUUUACAGGGCAUCUAUAUUUCAGUUA